UAAGACAGAGGUGCCAAGCGUUAGGCGGAAUCACUGGGCUUAAAGCGUGUGUAGGCGGAUCGUUAAGUGUCUUGUGAAAUCCCACGGCUCAACCGUGGAACUGCUCGACAUACUGGCGAUCUUGAGCAACCUAGGGGCGAGCGGAACAAAUGGUGGAGCGGUGAAAUGCGUAGAUAUCAUUUGGAACGCCAAUGGUGAAAACAGCUCGCUGGGGGUUUGCUGACGCUGAGACACGAAAGCCAGGGGAGCGAACGGGAUUAGAUACCCCGGUAGUCCUGGCCGUAAACGAUGUCGACUAGAUCGUAGUGCCUCUGACGGUAUUACGGUCGAAGCAAAAGUGCUAAGUCGACCGCCUGGGAAGUACGGUCGCAAGGCUA
rnacentral:rRNA from 1 species